rnacentral:lncRNA from 1 species
GUCUUCCCGGCCGGGUGGCACUGACCGGUCAUGCUCAGGGCCCCCUUCUGGUUGCCGGUGCCUCACCUCUGGCCAGGUGGCAUCGGCUUCCGGGUAAAUCUGAGCUGCCCAAAGCGAGCCUCCGGAGGCUGCUCCAUCUCCUGGAACGUUUACUCAUUCAGGCCUCUGGACGUCGAUACUGGGGAUGAAAAGUUCAGAAAGUGGACAGGCAGGUUCUGUCUUCCCGGGGGCGGGUGGUUAUGACUCCGUUUUACAGGCCAAGAGACCCAGGCUCACGGGCAUAAUUGACACAAUCUUGAGGGGAAGUGGACUGGAAUCUAUUUGAGUAGCCGUUUCUCCUACUUCUCCACAUUGCCCUCACUAAAUUCUGGAUCAGCUAAAGGCUUUUUCCCCUUAGUUUUCUUUAUGUGUUUUUCUGUAAAGCCGAAAAUUUAGUCAUUACUCUCAUUAUUACAUUAUCCUCAUUAUUACAACUUUAUUUCCACAUAUUGACAUGUGAGUCAUUGUCACCUCCUAGCUGUUUUUUGUUGUUGUUGUUGUUUUCUGAGACGGAGUCUCGCUCUGUCGCCCAGGCUGGAGUGCAGUGGCACGAUCUCGGCUCACUGCAACCUCCGCUUCCCGGGUUCAAGCAAUUUUCCUGUCUCAGCCUCCUGAGUAGCUGGGACUACAGGCGCUCACCACCAUGCCCAGCUAAUUUUUGUAUUUUUAGUAGAGAUGGGGUUUCACCAUAUUGGUAAGGCUGGUCUUGAACUCCUGACCUCAGAUGAUCCGCCUGCCUUGGCCUCCCAAAGUAUUGGGAUUAUAGGCGUGAGCCACCGCCCCUGGCCUGUUUCUUUUCUAGGUUAAAAGGAUACUCACUUAUCUAAGUUGAGAUUGGGGGAAAUAAUCACCUUUUGUGUCCUUGAUUGUAGCUUAGGAAUAUUUCUUAGUUGUUUUAGAGCAUUUCUCAAGUGUGAUCCAUGGGGCCACCUGCAUAUAUGCAUUUAUGAGCUGGGAUGCUUGUUAAAAUGCAGAUUCCUGGUCUUCAGUCCAGACCUACUGAGUUAAAAUAUUGAGGAGAGAUGGAGCUCAACAGAUGCCCUAGGUGACUCUGAUGUGGCCUAAGUCUGGGGAAACAGUACACCCUGCAGUACUUCUCCAACCUAACAGAAAUGCGGAUUCUGAUUCGCAAUGUUUCCUGAAAUAUACCUGAGCUUGGAACAGCAUGGAUCUGUACGAGCUGGUGCCCCACUAGUUGAUGACAUGGCUUCAUGAAAACAGAGGAGCACCUCACCACUAGAAGAGACCCUUGCAGUAGGAAACAAAGCUGCAUGAGAAAAGGUGGGAUGGGAUGGAAACGGCCUACUCACUCCCCCAGGAGUGGAGAGGAGGAAGCCUGAAGGGAUGAGGGCAGGGUUAUGCAUAUUUUGCAGCAUCAGAUAAUGAAAGCAGAUGAGUCAGCAGCAUUCACCCACAUGGCCAUUUUAUUCCAUGCACAAAUAAUAUGAUGAUUUUAUAAACCUCGUUUCACAAACUUUUGAUGAAUCCAAGGCAUGGCUGCCUUCGCCUUACGAUAAACAAGUCCUGUCUGUUGCUUGGCUCACUCUUUGAUACUGGAAGGAGAGUCUGUUGCAGUCAGAAAGAAAAGAUGUCAAAGUGGAGGCAGCCAGUUGCUCUGGUGGAGGGGAGGGCUGGUGUCCCAGGUUAGCAUUACCUGGAUGGGGACCAGUUUUGCAGGUCCAGAGCUCAGUUUAUCAGUGGCUCAAGGGAGCACUGAUUCAUACGUUCCAAGCUCAUGGGAGGGAGUGGCGUAAAUCCAGGCCUCUCAAACUUCAAUAUGCACAGGAAUCACGGGGGGCGCCUGGGGAUGGGAAUCUCCUGAAAAAUGCAGCUUCUAAUUUAGUACAGCUGGGCUAAGGCCUGAGAUUCCGCAUUUCCAACCAGCUCCCCACUGCACUUUGAGUAGCAAGGAUGUACAUCGGAGGCCAAUUUUUCUAAACUUUUGGUACCUGUCACCACUGGUUUCCUCACAACCCAAAGACUGCUUAGGGAGCAUGGUGGCCCAGAAAGGGGACUCCGCCUUCCAGGGUUGCUGGGUUUCCUGCAGACCUCAUGUCUUCCUGCCUUUCUGCUUUCACCUUCUAUCAGCCUGGGCCUGUCAGUGGCUCCGGUUAUACAUUUCCUUGGUUAUGUUCCCAGCCUGAAGGGAGACCUGCUGACUUUGGGUUUCUCUGUGUCCCAGGGUUUUCCCAGAGAUUCAUUAGGAAGCAAUCUUAAAGGGCGGGCUUCUUCCUCUGACGGCUAACCUAGUCCUUUUUCACUAAUUCUUCCCAGUUUCAGUCUCUGUGGGUGACUCUCCAAGAGUUGGAAUGCACUGGUCACGGUGUUGACAACACAGAUAAGAGGAAUCACAUUUAGAAAUAAGUAAUCCCAUGAGGCAGCCAGAGAGAUGGGCAGUAAGAGGCUGAGAGAUGCUCUUGGAGCAGGGUCGUCAGUGAGCACCGACAGCUGGAGUGGGCAGCGCUGGAUGCAUCGCCUGCCUGGCCCCCAACCUCAUUUACCCACAGCCUGCCUGACCUUGCUGAACUCCAUCCCAGAUCCUCAUUUGGUGAACCUGGGCUAUAGACUUAGGCUUUGCCUGGCAUUUGUUUGGAGCUGGAUGCUUGGGCAUGGCUGUCUGGUCAUGAUGACAUGGAUCACCAGCCCUGGAGCUCUGGGUAGCUGGAGAGAGCCACUGAAACCGGCCACCUAUUUGGCUUUGUUGUGGCAGAGACUGGCUUAUUUCUAGGGCUCCAUCUAGAUCUUCUAGCUUCAUGCUUCCUAUUAAUACUCCGAUUCAUAAAAAUAAAAAUCAUGAAAUAUAAUUGCCUAUAAAAAUAAUGAGACUAGGGCCGGGUGCG